UACGUAGGGUGCGAGCGUUGUCCGGAAUUACUGGGCGUAAAGAGCUCGUAGGUGGUUUGUCGCGUCGGUCGUGAAAACUUGGGGCUUAACCCUGAGCUUGCGGUCGAUACGGGCAUGACUGGAGUUCGGCAGGGGAGACUGGAAUUCCUGGUGUAGCGGUGAAAUGCGCAGAUAUCAGGAGGAACACCGGUGGCGAAGGCGGGUCUCUGGGCCGAUACUGACGCUGAGGAGCGAAAGCGUGGGGAGCGAACAGG
rnacentral:rRNA from 1 species